ensembl:lncRNA
AGCCUCAGAGGGAGUUCCGCAACAAUGCCCAUCGGUGCGCCUGCCUAUAACCCGGCCUAAUUUGCAGCACAGUCGGCCGAUUAAUUAAAAAAUGCCAAAAAUCGGUCGAUUAAUUGGCUGGCCGAUCAAUUGGUCGACCUCUAGUACAGACAUUCCUCUCAUUGAUAGCGAGAGCUUGAAGGGGUGAUUUGGAAUGACAUUUUUUUCAGGAGUCACGACAGUAGAGGCAGCGCAACUAUAACUACAUGUAAUUAUUCCCGCCCACUCUAAAGCGAUACUAAACUGCAGUGGAAACACAAGCAUAGCCGUGCUGAGCCGAGCCGAGCCAAGCCGUACCACGCAGUGGAAAAGCACCAUAAAACUACUGACACUUAAACUGAUCUUUGGACCAAGAGAAUAACAGACAAUCUGCAGAAAGGCCUAAAAUGCAGUUUUGUCAUUAUCAUCAGCAGGAAAUUACCUACAAGAGCAUGUGCAGAACCCAGCUGUGUGUCAAUCAAGAGCGAACAUUCCAUCAAAGACUUUCCUUCUGCAUUUAGCGAUGGAACCGUGACUUCUGACCCCAGCAGGAAAAGACCCAGAGGAGCAUCUCCAGAACCCAGCUAUGUGUCAAUGAAGAGCAACAGAUCUAUAAAGCAACCCCCCGAACUCACUGAUGAACCCAGCAGUCUGAAGAUGCUUUCCAGACAAAACAGUACUUACCCCUACUGUCAGACCCAGAACAAGACAGAAUCAGACUUGCUGGACGAGACUAAAGAACUGCAGAGAGUGAAAGACAUACACAAAACCAGCAUGAAGAACAAGUAUGAGAGUUUAUUUGAGGGAAUCAAAAUACAAGAGAAUCAAACCCUCCUUAAAAGCAUUUACACACAGCUGUACAUCAUAG